rnacentral:rRNA from 1 species
CGGUAAUUCCAGCUCCAAUAGCGUAUACUAAAGUUGUUGCAGUUAAAAAGCUCGUAGUUGGAUUUCUGCGGGGACGGAGCGGCCGGUCGCAACUUGCGACUCGAGCUAGCGCUUUCCCCGCAUCCUGCCGCGAACCGUGCUACCAUUAGUUUGGUGGCGCUGGGGAUCGGCUCGAUUACUUUGAGAAAAAUAGAGUGUUCAAAGCAGGCCACACGCCUUGAAUAAGUUAGCAUGGAAUAAUGACUAAGGACUUCGGUUCUAUUUUGUUGGUGUUCGGGACUGAAGUAAUGAUUGAUAGGGACAGUUGGGGCGGUCUGUAUUCCAAAGCGAGAGGUGAAAUUCUUAGACCUUCGGAAGACAAACAGCUGCGAAAGCGUUCCGCAAGGAUGUUCCCUUUGAUCAAGAACGAAAGUUGGGGGAUCGAAGACGAUCAGAUACCGUCGUAGUCUCAACUAUAAACUAUACCAGCUAGGGAUCGGCCAACGUUUAAUUAUUCGACUUGGUCGGCACCUUAUGAGAAAUCAAAGCAUCUGGGUUCCGGGGGGAGUAUGGUCGCAAGGCUGAAACUUAAAGGAAUUGACGGAAGGGCACCACCAGGCGUGGAGCCUGUGGCUUAAUUUGACUCAACACGGGAAAACUUACCAGGUCCAGACAUAGGAAGGAUUGACAGAUUGAUAGCUCUUUCUUGAUUCUGUGGGUGGUGGUGCAUGGCCGUUUUUAGUCGGUGAAGUGAUUUGUCUGCUUAAUUGCGUUAACGGACGAGACCCCAGCCUGCUAAAUAGCGCGGCCGAGCUUUGCUCGGUACGAGCUUCUUAGAGGGACCAUGAUGCGCGAUAGCACAAGGAAGUUUGGGGCAACAACAGGUCUGUGAUGCCCUUAGAUGUUCUGGGCCGCACACGGGCUACACUGGCGCCUGCAACGAGCAUAUCAGCUGGCCCGAGAGGGUCUUGGCUAAUCUUUGGAACCGGCGCCGUGCUUGGGAUUGACCAUUGCAAUUGUUGGUCAUGCAACGAGGAAUGCCUUGUAAACGCGAGUCAUCAGCUCGCAUUGAAUACGUCCCUGCCCUUUGUACACACCGCCCGUCGCUCCUACCGAUGAAUGUUCCGAUGAAAUUUUCGGAGAGUGCCUGUGAAGCAGGCCCUGCCUGUCGAACGGGAUGCUCAAAGUCACUUAAAUCUGAACAUUUCGAGGAAGGAGAAGUCGUAACAAGGUAGCCG